rnacentral:rRNA from 1 species
GACGAACGCUGGCGGCGUGCUUAACACAUGCAAGUCGAACGGUGAAGCGAGUGCUUGCACUCGUGGAUCAGUGGCGAACGGGUGAGUAACACGUGAGUAACCUGCCCAUCACUCUGGGAUAAGCACUGGAAACGGUGUCUAAUACUGGAUACGACCAACCCUUGCAUGGGGUGUUGGUGGAAAGAUUUAUCGGUGAUGGAUGGACUCGCGGCCUAUCAGCUUGUUGGCGGGGUAAUGGCCCACCAAGGCGACGACGGGUAGCCGGCCUGAGAGGGUGACCGGCCACACUAGGACUGAGACACGGCCCAGACUCCUACGGGAGGCAGCAGUGGGGAAUAUUGCACAAUGGGCGAAAGCCUGAUGCAGCGACGCCGCGUGAGGGAUGACGGCCUUCGGGUUGUAAACCUCUUUCAGCAGGGAAGAAGCGAAAGUGACGGUACCUGCAGAAGAAGCACCGGCUAACUACGUG